AUAUUACUCCCUCCAUCCGGAAAUACUUGUCGAAGAAAUGGAUAAAAAUGAAUGUAUCUAAAACUAAAAUACGUCUAUAUAUACAUUCAUUUUUUCGACAAGUAUUUUCGGACAGAGGGAGUAGUAU
rfam:Triticum aestivum genome assembly, contig: Triticum_aestivum_CS42_TGACv1_scaffold_146939_2BS